CSCYGAGUCGACUUGGAGGUUGUGCCCUUGAGGCGUGGCUUCCGGAGCUAACGCGUUAAGUCGACCGCCUGGGGAGUACGGCCGCAAGGUUAAAACUCAAAUGAAUUGACGGGGGCCCGCACAAGCGGUGGAGCAUGUGGUUUAAUUCGAUGCAACGCGAAGAACCUUACCUGGUCUUGACAUCCACAGAACUUUCCAGAGAUGGAUUGGUGCCUUCGGGAACUGUGAGACAGGUGCUGCAUGGCUGUCGUCAGCUCGUGUUGUGAAAUGUUGGGUUAAGUCCCGCAACGAGCGCAACCCUUAUCCUUUGUUGCCACGCGGUCCGGCCGGGAACUCAAAGGAGACUGCCAGUGAUAAACUGGAGGAAGGUGGGGAUGACRUCMAGUCAUCAUGGGCCUUACGACCACGGCUACCMCSUGCUACAAUGGCGCAUACWAAGAGAACGACCUCCCGAGAGCAAGYGGACCUCMUAAACUGCGUCUGGGGCGCGGGGUGGARWYUGGGCCUCCCCYCCCURU
rnacentral:rRNA from 1 species